rnacentral:lncRNA from 1 species
AUUCUAUUUAAAUUAUAUAGAAAAAAUAACAACAAUACAAAAUGAGGCCUAAAUUUUUGCUCACUUACAAAAAUAACACACAUAAAAAUAACACACAUAUAUUCUCAAUCAGUGCUAGGUUAAUUCACAACCCGAAAUGGAUUGUAAUCCUACCACACUCACAUUAAAAGUCUUUUUUUUUUCACUAAUUUUAUCACUUUCUUGUUUAAAAAACAAACAAAAAACCAUAAUGUAAUUAUAUUUCCCAACUCUCUAUGGUAGUGUGAUGCCCCACUUCCCAGAGGGUCACCCAUUCUAUUCUAGUCCUAGCAUACUUAAUUCUCUUAACUUCUUGGUCCUAACCACUGCCUUACAUAUAUUAUAACCGAAUUAAGAGGCUUAGCACUACUAUACCUCAUAUGUAGGACUUUUCCAAAUCCUGAACUGUCACAUUCUCCCUUUCUUUAAACCCUGAUGUUCUUGUUAGGCUCAGACACACUUACAAGUACUAGGCAAUGUG